UGCGUGCUUUCAAUCAUUUUAAACUCAACGGUAGUGGGAGACUUGAAGGAUGUUUAGGAAGACAUAAAUACAUGUGUUUGAUGAAUUGCAGGAAAGAGAAUUGUUCUUCAAUCAUGAUAGCUGUGUUGGCAAGCGAUAUAGCAAAAUUGUACAGACAAAAUAAUGGUUUGUUAAUCGAUGUCAAUUAGUUGAUUGUUACAAUACAAUUUUACACAAUGAAUCAAAUUGUCUUUCCGUUGCAUUGGAAGAACGAGCAACCCUUUGUCCCUGUUGUAUCCAUCUUUUCUUAAGAAUAGUUUUGGGUUGUUUGUUUUGAAAUUGCUGAAAAGUGUAUAUUUUUUUAGUGAUUUGUUAACUUCUGAUGUUAAUUUCAAAUUUGCUUGAGUUUGCCUCGAGUAAUUAUGUCAGAAAGACUAGGACGACAUAAUUUGCGCUUAAUCAUUUGAGAGAUUUGAUACUAGCGUAAAAUAUUAUGAGUUGAUUAAAUUAUAUAUGCAGAUUUUGGAUCGAUCGAGUAGAAAAGAUUUUUGGGUCUCUCUGACAGAACGCGGGUAUAUUGAUAACUGCAUCUCUUGAAAGACCUAAAAUUUACUAACAGAUUCGGGGAAAAUAAAAAAGAAAAGAAGAGGUGCACAUAGAUGAGAAGGUAAUAUUUAACGAUUUUUCUCUUUGUUGCAUUCUUUUACCAUGCCAUACUUGAGCAUCAGGAUGGGCGCAGUAAUGGAGGAAGGAACACUUUGAAGGUAAUCUAAAACCUUUUGAAAACAACUCAAUCGUUUCUUGCUCUUGGAACGCAUAUGAAAAUAACGUUUUCCAUCCCAGUGAAAGUAUCUAAAUUUUUAUAUAAAGUUUUCCUAUUGAGACAGGCCUUGGACAUAGAAAAUAAUCACAAAAACUCAUUGAAGACCUAUUCUUCCUUGAAUAAUACAUAGAUUCAUUGAAGAUAUGACUUCAGAACAACUCUUACGGGAUUAUAAUGAAACGUAAUCGCUAUUCUCUGGGUCUGCAACUUCUCGUUAUUCGCUUGAGUAUCCUCAGCAAGAUAUUGAAAAGUAUAUCUCUCCAAAACUCGCCUAUGGUUUUAGUCUUAAUAAAUGCAUGAAGAAAUUUAAGGAAUGUUGGUAAGCGAAGAAAUAUAUCAUAGGAUACAGUAAGCAAAGGAGAAAAAGUCACCUCUAAGUUCUUGAUUUCGGUUGCGAAGGUUUUCAGCCUCAAGAUUUGUAACUUGAAGUUCUCCCCUCAAUUUAUGGACCUCUUGAAGUUCCAUUUUCAACCUAUUGACUUCAUUCUCCAAAGAGGCAUUUUGUUGCGAAAGUUCCAACUGAGGUCAGCUAGAUUUAAAACGUCCUUCGGCAAGAAUCAUUCGUUGAUGAGAAUCCUAAAGAAGAAAGAAGACAAGGAUAAGGGGGUUAAGAUAUUAAAGUUAAGUGAAAACAUGAAAAAAGGCGCUUACCAAGACAUCUAGAGCAGUAUGGAAGCUCGGAUCAAUGUGAGAAUGGAUCUCAUCUCUUAUAGUACUAUCAGAGGGAAAUUCGCACAAAAGUUUACUUAAAGCAGAACAAAUGCGAAGUUUGCAAGGGUCAUUAGUAGAGGAUUGAGCAGAGUUGAUGAUGUCGGAUAGAGUUUGGGAAACAAAAUUCACGCUAUCCAAAUCCUUUUUGCUAAGAGAAAGGGAAUUUAAUAACAAAGAAAAAGACGAAAAAGAAGGGAUGGAUAUAGGAGGAGAAGGAAUAGUAAAAUUUUUAGGGGAGGAUACAUUAACAGAAUUUGGUUGAGGAUUAAUAUGGAUGAAUGAAGAAGAAGUCUGAUUCGCAUCCGAUGAAUUCGCAGAGGCAGUAAUAAGAGUAUCUUUUGUCCCUUGAUCAGCAGCAGUUUCUUUUUCACCAGGAAAAUUUUCUUCAAAGGCGACAGACAUAUUUGCAUCAGAAGCUUGAAUUGGGGUGAUAGAGGCAUUAGUAUCAGAAGUUCGAAUUGUUGCUAAUGGGGUGACGUCUGCAACAUCAAAGUCAAGAAUAGAAAGAUUUGACUUCACUAUUGUGGGCUUGCGAACUUUCUUAACCUUUGGUUUCUUGACCCCACCUAUCUCACAAUCUGAAACCUGCGAAAAAAAGUAGAUAAGAAAUAGAGACAACAAUAUUGUUUAGUUAAAAUUAGAUAUUUCUUAAUUCUUUGUUGUGCGAAGUUUUCCUCUUAUGAGAUUCAUUAUUUGCAUCAUCUGUGGAAGAAUUAGGGUUUGGAACAGUUACCCUCAAGGCGCUUAAAAAAGAAUUUUUCCUGGAAUAGUAUGGGAAUUCGGUUAAUUAAAAAGAUAACAAUUACCAUCAAGAAUCAUGAUUAUCAGAAGAAUAAAAGGAUAAAUCUUGAAAGAGGAAAACAAACUUUGCAUUUUUAUCCAUGGCAAUAGUAGCAGAAGAACAACAGCGGUAGAAGCAGAAGAACAGUAGCAGCAGGAAUGAAGCAGACAGCGGAAGAAAGAGAAAUUUUAGUAAAGAAUAAAAGAAAAUUUUAUUAUUCUUAAAAAUAAGUCAAUAAAUAGGUAGAAGAUACGACCGGUUAUAAACGGUUUGAGCCGGUAAAAAGGAGAAGAAUCGACGCGUAUGAAUAAAUGAACUGGAAUUCCGGAAGAAUGUCGGUAAGGUAGAAUACGAAAACAUAUACACAUGCGAUAUUUUAGGAUGGAAAUUUCUCAUAUCGCUCACUCCAUAAUGUAAGCGAAAUGAGAAGAGGAAAAAUGUAGGAGUGGAAUAUCGCACAUAUCAAUAAGUAUGCGAAGUAAGGAUUAUCUGAUGUAAGCGAGGACUAUCACACAUGGCAAAGAUGAAGUGACAUAUUGGAUGAUAUCAACAAGAUCACGAGUAAAGUGUGAUGUUCUAUGCGAGGCAAAGUUUGUGCGAGAAUGAGUGAUUGUAAUGAGCAAAUGUAUCGCACAGUGAUUCCGAAAAUAGUGGAUCUCUUAGCUGUCAUCCACUAUGAGGAAUCGCUAUAUAAAGGAAGGAAGUCAUCACAUAAAAGGGGAUCUUUUUAGUGUGUGUUAGACAAGAAACUAGGAGAGAGAAAGUUUGUUUGGAGAGGAAGUAAAGUCAUUGAAAGUCAUUGUUAUCCAUUGUAUCCAAUUAUAA